rnacentral:rRNA from 1 species
GACCUCUUCGAGAGGUUUCGGUGCUGAAGGGAAGCCGGAGAGUGUGCUACCUGGGAAGUAUAGUCGCAAGGCCGAAACUUAAAGGAAUUGGCGGGGAGACACUACAACGGGUGACGCGUGCGGUUCAAUUUAACUACACACAGAGAAUCUUACCAGGAGCGAUAGCAGAAUGAAGGUCAGUCUAAAGGGCUUACCUGACACGCUAAGAGGAGCUGCAUGGCCGACGUCAGCCUGUGCCGUGAGGUGACCUGUUAAAUCAGGUAACAGGCAAGACCCUAAUGUAUAUUUAUAUUCUAUAUACAGAUUGCUUGGGUAACCGAGAUGAAAGUUAGGGCUACGUUAGGUCUGUAUAGCCCGAAUCCCCUGGGCUACACGCGCGCGUCAACGGUGAAUACAACGAGAUGCAACUCCGAAAGGAGAAGCCAAUCUCUUAAAGUUCAUCUCAGUUUAGAUCGAGGUUUGUAACUCAGCCUCGUGACAAUGGAAUCCGUAGUAAUCGUUUGUCAACAACGAACGGUGAAUAUGUCACUGUCUCUUGCACACGCUGCCCGUCAAACCAACCGAGUUUAUUUAUGGUGAAACUUUUCGAAGGAGAACUUUGGGUAGACAAGGUAGGUUAAGUCGUAACAAGGUAGCC